CCUACGGGGGGCAGCAGUGGGGAAUAUUGCACAAUGGGGGAAACCCUGAUGCAGCGACGCCGCGUGAGUGAAGAAGUAUUUCGGUAUGUAAAGCUCUAUCAGCAGGAACGAGACAAGACGGUACCUGACCAAGAAGCCCCGGCCAACUACGUGCCAGCAGCCGCGGUAAUACGGAGGGGGCAAGCGGUAUCCGGAAUCACUGGGUGUAAAGGGAGCGUAGACGGCUGAGCAAGCCUGAAGUGAAAGGCGGGGGCCCAACCCCCGGACUGCCUUGGAAACUGUACGGCUGGAGUGCAGGAGAGGUAAGUGGAAUUCCUGGUGUAGCGGUGAAAUGCGUAGAUAUUAGGAGGAACACCAGUGGCGAAGGCGGCUUACUGGACUGUAACUGACGUUGAGGCUCGAAAGCGUGGGGAGCAAACAGGAUUAGAUACCCGUGUAGUC
rnacentral:rRNA from 1 species